GCAUUAUCACGAGAGUUAGUUUCGUAUAUUCUACACGAUUCACAAUCAAAAAGGAGCCAGACGAUGUCUAACCCUUACCAAAUUUCUUGUGAAUCAGCUUGGGAAACCCAAAAUAGAGGCACAGUGAAGAGCAAAGUAUUCACAGAUAGGCAAGAGCCUUUGAGUUGGGCGAACAUUUUGCAUUUCAUUUUAGUGACUUCAUUUCAUGUAUCCGGAAACAUUCCAAGUUGGAAUCUUAGUGGAAUUUAAUUUUCUCCUCGCCACGCUGAGCGAAAAACCGCCUCAGGAAGAGAAACUCGUUGGUGUCAUUCCUUCCCUUGGCGUUUCGCCUUUCUGCAAGGGCGUCGUUAAGAUAUUCAUAAUUUGCCUCUCAAAUUUAAAUGUUCCACUCGGUCGGACGAAACGGUCCAUGUCCUAAGAAGGCCAUUCCAUAUACCACCACAAAAAGACAAGCAAGAUAACUUUGCCAGGACCAAUGACGACCGGGCGAGGCUACGUAAGUGACCGCCAUUAGAUGCGAGCCUUACCUCAAGGUGGUUGCUGGUUUGGUGGAACAUUUAUCAUGGGCUGCCUGUUCUUCCUUUGAUGAUGUUGUGUUAACGUGCUUGGCACAUUCACUCUUCACGAUCUGAUUAGAUCUGUGGUUCUAAUUUUGAUAUUUGCUCGUGGAGUUUAGUCAACGGUUGCUCGUGAGUAGCACAUCAACACCCAGAUUGUCUGUCUGACAAGACAGACAAGAAAGAGGAGGGCCACGUUUUGAGAGGGAAGGGGCCCAGUUUUAUCGGAUUUCAUGCUAAUAAGCUGUUCAAGGCGACCUUCCGACGAGCUUCUUGAAGGAUGACAGGGAAGAUCGCUUCGAGAAGAAUUCAUUUUGAUACACAUUUUGACCCAGGAGAAGAAACGGUUCCCCUUUUCGGUACACAUGUACAGUACUGUACACUGACUGACAUAAAGGUAGUCAGGAGAGGGAGCAUUAAUUUUUCCUUGGAACAAGCCAGUCGAGUCCAUCAUGUCCGUUAAAAAGAUGUUAUAACCUAUUGCAAACAUGUCAAAGACAGAAAAGGGCCAGCGUC